CGAAACUUUAUCCAGAUUUCGAAUCCGAACGGAGCAAAUUUAUCUGAUGUUUUUUUGAGAGAGAUAGGUAGCACGCUACCAGCUUUGUUUAUUUCAUUUAGAAAUAAACUUAGCUGGAAAUGUGAAUCAAUUAGGAUUUGAACUUGGGUCUCGGAUACCAACCACCAAGCCUUUUGCCACUUGCUCUAGGGACGGUUGGUCAAAUUUAUCCGAUGUUAAACAAAUAUAGUUUUGAGUAUAGAUAUAAAAGACGAAAUAUGACUGAUUUGAAUUCGGGUAUAGAUUUUUGUAUAUAUCCGAUCAGCACCCGGAUCCGCUCCUUUUG
rnacentral:lncRNA from 1 species